ACGAACGCUGGCGGCAUGCCUAACCCAUGCAAGUCGCACGAGACCUUCGGGUCUAGUGGCGCACGGGUGCGUCACGCGUGGGAAUCUGCCCUUGGGUUCGGAAUAACAGUGAGAAAUUACUGCUAAUACCGGAUGAUGUCUUCGGACCAAAGAUUUAUCGCCCAGGGAUGAGCCCGCGUAGGAUUAGCUAGUUGGUGGGGUAAUGGCCUACCAAGGCGACGAUCCUUAGCUGGUCUGAGAGGAUGAUCAGCCACACUGGGACUGAGACACGGCCCAGACUCCUACGGGAGGCAGCAGUGGGGAAUAUUGGACAAUGGGCGCAAGCCUGAUCCAGCAAUGCCGCGUGAGUGAUGAAGGCCUUAGGGUUGUAAAGCUCUUUUACCCGGGAUGAUAAUGACAGUACCGGGAGAAUAAGCUCCGGCUAACUCCGUG
rnacentral:rRNA from 1 species